CCUACGGGAGGCAGCAGUAGGGAAUAUUGCACAAUGGGGGAAACCCUGAUGCAGCGACUCCGCGUGGGGGAUGAAGCGUUUCGGAUCGUAAAGCCCUAUCGUCAGAGAAGAUAGUGACCGUAUCUUACGAAUAAGCCCCGGCCAACUCCGUUCCAGCCGCCGCGGUAAUACGGUGGGUGCAAGCGUUACUCGGAAUCACUGGGCGUAAAGAGCGCGUAGGCGGGAUGGCAAGUCAGAUGUGAAAUCCCGUGGCGCAACCAUAGAACUGCAUUUGAAACUGUGGUGCUGGAGUAUAGGAGGGGAAGGUGGAAUUCUUGGUGUAGCGGUAAAAUGCGUAGAGAUCAAGAGGAAUACUCGUUGCGAAGGCGGCCUGCUAGAACGUGACUGACGCUGAUGCGCGAAAGCGUGGGGAGCAAACAGGAUUAGAUACCCGAGUAGUC
rnacentral:rRNA from 1 species